UGUCACGACCCAAAUUCCAGGUCAUGACCGGCGCAUGGAUCCAAUGGACGUAAUCCACUAAACCCAAGCAAGCCUAUUAUUUAUUUUACUUAUGAUUCUAUUUAUUAUCACUAAGUCCUAUUUCAUGACUUUGAGUCAAAAUAGUGAUAUACAUUGCCAACUCGUACUGGCAUUACUCUUUUAAAAUUUACAUUUAAGUUCAUCUAUACAUAACAAAAUAAUACUCGACCUCCAACGGAGUGACUCGGAUGGAUAUACAGCUACCGAAUGCCGAGACACCUACCAGAAGAUGUACACAGAUCUACAAGGACACCUCGUCCUAAUUAUCGGCUACCUCGUGAUCUGAAAACAUGAAUUUGAAAAUGGUGAGUAUAAACCCAGUGAGUGAACAAGGAAGGGAACAAGCAACAAUUAGGAAAAAUUUAAAAUCAUGAUGCACUUGUUUCAAACAAUGCAAUUUAGUUCAUUCCUAUUUAAAACCCCUCCAAACCCCAGAGUUUUUCGCUACAGCGAGCAUGAAUUUCGAUGCAGUGAAAACAAAGCAACAAGAGAAACAUUUUUCCUCACUCAACAAAAGCCAUCCUGCUAAACUAAUAAAAUCAACCUAACAUUCAUGAAAAUUCUCAAAGUAUAAUGUGUCAAAUUUUACGUACAUUACAACCAUAAAUCAUUGUCCAUCAAUUUGCUAUAUCACACACAUUUACAUAUGUAUAUAUAUAUAUACAUAUAUACCCAUCAUCAUCAUCUCACCAACCCAUCAUCAUCAUCACCAGCUCAUCAUCAUCAUCACCAGCUCAUGCGCACUCCCUACUCGCACAUGGCUGGGUCAUCACCGGAUUAUGCGCACUCCCUACUCGCACAUAACCGGGUCAUCCUCGGCUUAUGCACACUCCCUACUCGCACAUAGCCGAGUCAACAUAAUUACACAACAUUAUAUUCAAGCAUAUAUGUAUAUCAACAUAAUGCAGCCACAUAGAAAUCCAUAAUAACCACAUUUCAUAACAUAAACCUUUUCUCAAAAGCUUGGUCCCAAGGCAUUCAUUUUCAUGAAAAAUUGCAUAAAAUCAUUAAACACUUUGUUCAAACAGUCAUAUUCCCAAAACAAUUUUGAUAGGCAGUCCAACUCACAGGUAUCGAAAAAUUCAGAUUUCGGGUGAACUCUGACUAAUAGUCCUCAGGCGCAAUUCUUUGCCUUUUCCGGAUGUCUCACCACCU
rnacentral:lncRNA from 1 species